GGUCCAAUCCUUAAAGUCAUCCUCAGUUCGGACUGGGGUCUGCAACCCGACCCCACGAAGCUGGAUUCGCUAGUAAUCGCGCAUCAGCCACGGCGCGGUGAAUACGUUCCCGGGCCUUGUACACACCGCCCGUCAAGCCAUGGAAGCCGGGGGUGCCUGAAGUGCGCUGCCGCAAGGAGCGCCCUAGGGUAAAACCGGUGACUGGGGCUAAGUCGUAACAAGGUACC
rnacentral:rRNA from 1 species